GACGAACGCUGGCGGCGUGCCUAAUACAUGCAAGUCGAGCGAAUCAAUGGGAGCUUGCUCCUGUUGAUUAGCGGCGGACGGGUGAGUAACACGUGGGCAACCUGCCUGUAAGACUGGGAUAACUUCGGGAAACCGGAGCUAAUACCGGAUAAUCCUUUUCCUCUCAUGAGGAAAAGCUGAAAGUCGGUUUCGGCUGACACUUACAGAUGGGCACGCGGCGCAUUAGCUAGUUGGUGAGGGAACGGCUCACCAAGGCGACGAUGCGUAGCCGACCUGAGAGGGUGAUCGGCCACACUGGGACUGAGACACGGCCCAGACUCCUACGGGAGGCAGCAGUAGGGAAUCUUCCGCAAUGGACGAAAGUCUGACGGAGCAACGCCGCGUGAGCGAUGAAGGCCUUCGGGUCGUAAAGCUCUGUUGUUAGGGAAGAACAAGUAUCGGAGUAACUGCCGGUACCUUGACGGUACCUAACCAGAAAGCCACGGCUAACUACGUGCCAGCCGCCGCGGUAA
rnacentral:rRNA from 1 species